rnacentral:rRNA from 1 species
GGACGAACGCUGGCGGCGUGCUUAACACAUGCAAGUCGAACGGAAAGGCCCUGCUUUUGUGGGGUGCUCGAGUGGCGAACGGGUGAGUAACACGUGAGUAACCUGCCCUUGACUUUAGGAUAACUUCAGGAAACUGGGGCUAAUACCGGAUAGGAGCUCCUGCUGCAUGGUGGGGGUUGGAAAGUUUCGGCGGUUGGGGAUGGACUCGCGGCUUAUCAGCUUGUUGGUGGGGUAGUGGCUUACCAAGGCUUUGACGGGUAGCCGGCCUGAGAGGGUGACCGGCCACAUUGGGACUGAGAUACGGCCCAGACUCCUACGGGAGGCAGCAGUGGGGAAUAUUGCACAAUGGGCGGAAGCCUGAUGCAGCAACGCCGCGUGCGGGAUGACGGCCUUCGGGUUGUAAACCGCUUUCGCCUGUGACGAAGCGUGAGUGACGGUAAUGGGUAAAGAAGCACCGGCUAACUACGUG